CUACGGGGUGCUCCGGUGGGGAAUAUUGCACAAUGGAGGAAACUCUGAUGCAGCAACGCCGCGUGGAGGAUGACACUUUUCGGAGCGUAAACUCCUUUUAUAUAGGAAGAAGAUGACGGUACUAUAUGAAUAAGCGCCGGCUAACUCCGUGCCAGCAGCCGCGGUAAUACGGAGGGCGCAAGCGUUACUCGGAAUCACUGGGCGUAAAGAGCGUGUAGGCGGAUUAAAAAGUCAGAAGUGAAAUCCUAUAGCUUAACUAUAGAACUGCUUCUGAAACUCUUAAUCUAGAAUGUGGGAGAGGUAGAUGGAAUUUCUGGUGUAGGGGUAAAAUCCGUAGAGAUCAGAAGGAAUACCGAUUGCGAAGGCGAUCUACUAGAACAUUAUUGACGCUGAGACGCGAAAGCGUGUGGAGCAAACAGGAUUAGAUACCCGUGUAGUC
rnacentral:rRNA from 1 species